rnacentral:tRNA from 1 species
UGGGAUGUAGCUGAGUGGUAAAGUACUUGCCUAGCAUGCAUAGGUGCUGGGUUCAAUCCCUAGCACCAUGA